rnacentral:misc_RNA from 1 species
AACCUAGCACACCUGCGGUGUGUACCUGCGGAAGGAUCAUUACCGAGUUUACAACUCCCAAACCCCUGCGAACAUACCUAUACGUUGCCUCGGCGGAUCAGCCCGCGCCCUGUAAAAAGGGACGGCCCGCCCGAGGACCCUAAACUCUGUUUUUAGUGGAACUUCUGAGUAAAACAAACAAAUAAAUCAAAACUUUCAACAACGGAUCU